rnacentral:rRNA from 1 species
AGAGUUUGAUCAUGGCUCAGAGCGAACGCUGGCGGCAGGCUUAACACAUGCAAGUCGAGCGGGCGUAGCAAUACGUCAGCGGCAGACGGGUGAGUAACGCGUGGGAACGUACCUUUUGGUUCGGAACAACACAGGGAAACUUGUGCUAAUACCGAAUAAGCCCUUACGGGGAAAGAUUUAUCGCCGAAAGAUCGGCCCGCGUCUGAUUAGCUAGUUGGUGAGGUAAUGGCUCACCAAGGCGACGAUCAGUAGCUGGUCUGAGAGGAUGAUCAGCCACAUUGGGACUGAGACACGGCCCAAACUCCUACGGGAGGCAGCAGUGGGGAAUAUUGGACAAUGGGCGCAAGCCUGAUCCAGCCAUGCCGCGUGAGUGAUGAAGGCCCUAGGGUUGUAAAGCUCUUUUGUGCGGGAAGAUAAUGACGGUACCGCAAGAAUAGCC